rnacentral:rRNA from 1 species
CCUACGGGAGGCAGCAGUAGGGAAUUUUCCACAAUGGGCGAAAGCCUGAUGGAGCAACGCCGCGUGCAGGAUGAAUGCCUUCGGGUUGUAAACUGCUUUUAUCUGUGAAGAAUAUGACGGUAGCAGAUGAAUAAGGACCUGCUAACUACGUGCCAGCAGCCGCGGUCAUACGUAGGGUCCAAGCGUUAUCCGGAAUUACUGGGCGUAAAGAGUUGCGUAGGUGGCAUAGUAAGUAGAUAGUGAAAGCGUGCGGCUCAACCGCAUAUCCAUUAUCUAAACUGCUAAGCUAGAGAACGAGAGAGGUAGAUGGAAUUCCUGAUGUAGGGGUAAUAUCCGUAGAUAUCAGGAGGAACACCGAUGGCGUAGGCAGUCUACUGGCUCGUUUCUGACACUAAGGCACGAAAGCGUGGGGAGCAAACAGGAUUAGAUACCCUUGUAGU